GGGGAUUUAGCUGAGUGGCAUAAGCGCCUGCCUGGCAAGUGCGAGGUGGUGAGUUCAAUCCCCA
rnacentral:tRNA from 1 species